AGUGAACGCUGGCGGUAGGCCUAACACAUGCAAGUCGAACGGCAGCACAGUAAGAGCUUGCUCUUACGGGUGGCGAGUGGCGGACGGGUGAGGAAUACAUCGGAAUCUACUUUUUCGUGGGGGAUAACGUAGGGAAACUUACGCUAAUACCGCAUACGACCUACGGGUGAAAGCAGGGGAUCUUCGGACCUUGCGCGAUUGAAUGAGCCGAUGUCGGAUUAGCUAGUUGGCGGGGUAAAGGCCCACCAAGGCGACGAUCCGUAGCUGGUCUGAGAGGAUGGUUCCCCACACUGGCACUGAGACACAGUCCCGACUCCUACGGUGGGCCACGGUGGGGAAUAUUGCGCAAUGGGGGCAAGCCUGAUCCAGCCAUACCGCGUGGGUGAAGAAGGCCUUCGGGUUGUAAAGCCCUUUUGUUGGGAAAGAAAAGCAGCAGGUUAAUACCCCGCUGUUCUGACGGUACCCAAAGAAUAAGCACCGGCUAACUUCGUG
rnacentral:rRNA from 1 species